rnacentral:rRNA from 1 species
GAUGAACGCUGGCGGCGUGCUUAACACAUGCAAGUCGAACGAAGCACUUAAGAUUGCUUCUUCGGAUGACGUCUUUUGUGACUUAGUGGCGGACGGGUGAGUAACGCGUGGGUAACCUGCCUCACACAGGGGGAUAACAGUUAGAAAUGACUGCUAAUACCGCAUAACCCGAUAGGAUCGCAUGAUCCAGACGGAAAAGAUUUAUCGGUGUGAGAUGGACCCGCGUCUGAUUAGCUAGUUGGUGAGGUAACGGCCCACCAAGGCGACGAUCAGUAGCCGGCCUGGGAGGGUGAACGGCCACAUUGGGACUGAGACACGGCCCAAACUCCUACGGGAGGCAGCAGUGGGGAAUAUUGCACAAUGGGGGAAACCCUGAUGCAGCGACGCCGCGUGAGUGAAGAAGUAUUUCGGUAUGUAAAGCUCUAUCAGCAGGGAAGAAAAUGACGGUACCUGACUAAGAAGCCCCGGCUAACUACGUG